rnacentral:rRNA from 1 species
UACGGAGGGUCCAAGCGUUAUCCGGAAUCAUUGGGUUUAAAGGGUGCGCAGGCGGUAAAGUAAGUCAGUGGUGAAAUCUCUCGGCUCAACCGAGAAACUGCCAUUGAUACUGCUAUACUUGAAUAUAGUUGAAGUAGGCGGAAUGUGACAUGUAGCGGUGAAAUGCUUAGAUAUGUCACAGAACACCGAUAGCGAAGGCAGCUUACUAAACUAACAUUGACGCUCAUGCACGAAAGCGUGGGGAGCGAACAGG